AAACCAUGGUGUGGACACCUCCUCAGUAGUUCCUUGUAUCUUUCCCAAGCCUCAUAUAAUGAUUCAAACUCUUUAUGUAGAAAUGAUGUGAUAUCAUUUCUCAUCUU